GUUUACACUCCCAGGACCCUACACUCCAGCCCCUUGGCCCCUCCAGCCUGAGCACCCUGGCAGUCCCUAUUCCCCUGGGAAACCAGCACACAAAGCCGUUUGGAGCCCUGCAGCUUCCUAAACCCGAGUGGGCCUCUCUCUCCCUAUCUCUUGCCUCACUCCACAGUCUGAUUCCCACCAAUCAUUCCCGUUUCAAAGACCCAGAACAUUGGAAUUAGACUGUGUUAGAAAUCACAGGGCACAACUGAGGCCCAGAGAAGGGAAGGAAUUUAUGGAGUUAGCUCGUUAUUUUAAGCUUCACAACAUCCCUAUGAGAUAAGUACUUUUAUUUCCAUUUUAUAGAUAAAACUGAGGUCCAGAGAGGUUAAGUAACUUGCCUAAGGAUGAAAACCCGAUUCUGUCCUAUUCCUGCUCAAAUCAGGGAUGAAACGUCUUUAAUUUUGUGGAUGUGGUGUGAUGGUUUCAUAUGCUACUUAAUUUGCUUUAUAGUCUGAGAUUAUGGUCACGAUAUAAGACAGUAUUUCUCUGGUCUCCCUAUUAGUACUACUGAUUAUAUGGCCACAUAGGAUAGAAAUUUUCAUUUUGAUUUCUAAGCUUGGAGACUGUUGUGAAAUACCAGUUCUGAAUUUUUGAACCAUGAGAGGAAGUUUGGCUUGAUGAUUUGUGCAAACUUUUUCCCUUGAAGAUGUUUUUGUCAUAAAAUUUAUCAGUGAUUAAGGGAAAUUAUCUAAAAUGAGAUUUCAAAUUAGAAUCUAUUGAGUCACUUAGUAUUCAUUAAUUACCUUAUAUGUUUAUAUGAGGACCAAAAUGAAAAAUGGUUUUCUUAAAUGUUCUUGUUGUUGGAUUGUUUUGUAUAUACAGUUAUGUGCUUAUUCAGUUGAAAAAUUUUAGAAUACAAAAAUAUUGCCAAAAGGCUUAGGAAGUAUCUCUUAGCUUCAGUGGGUUGUCUGAUCCUC
rnacentral:lncRNA from 1 species